UAACGCGAAGAACCUUACCUGGGCUUGACAUGUAGGUGACCGCCGUAGAGAUACGGCUUUCCUUCGGGACACCUUCACAGGUGGUGCAUGGCUGUCGUCAGCUCGUGUCGUGAGAUGUUGGGUUAAGUCCCGCAACGAGCGCAACCCCCGUUCCAUGUUGCCAGCAUUCAGUUGGGGACUCAUGGGAGACUGCCGGUGACAAACCGGAGGAAGGUGGGGAUGACGUCAAGUCAUCAUGCCCCUUAUGUCCAGGGCUACACACGUGCUACAUUGGCGCAUACAAAGGGCAGCAAUACCGCGAGGUGGAGCAAAUCCCAGAAAGUGCGCCUCGGUUCGGAUUGGAGGCUGAAACUCGCCUCCAUGAAGGUGGAGUUGCUAGUAAUCGCGGAUCAGCAAUGCCGCGGUGAAUACGUUCCCGGGUCUUGUACAC
rnacentral:rRNA from 1 species